rnacentral:rRNA from 1 species
UACGAAGGGGGCUAGCGUUGCUCGGAAUCACUGGGCGUAAAGCGCACGUAGGCGGAUUGCUAAGUCAGGGGUGAAAUCCUGGAGCUCAACUCCAGAACUGCCUUUGAUACUGGUGAUCUUGAGCCCGGGAGAGGUGAGUGGAACUGCGAGUGUAGAGGUGAAAUUCGUAGAUAUUCGCAAGAACACCAGUGGCGAAGGCGGCUCACUGGCCCGGUACUGACGCUGAGGUGCGAAAGCGUGGGGAUCAAACAGG